CUACGGGGCGCUGCAGUGAGGAAUAUUGCACAAUGGGGGGAACCCUGAUGCAGCAACGCCGCGUGGAGGAUGACGCAUUUCGGUGUGUAAACUCCUUUUAUAUGUCAAGAAAAUGACGGUAGCAUAUGAAUAAGCACCGGCUAACUCCGUGCCAGCAGCCGCGGUAAUACGGAGGGUGCAAGCGUUACUCGGAAUCACUGGGCGUAAAGGACGCGUAGGCGGGUUGGAAAGUCAGGUGUGAAAUCCUACAGCUUAACUGUAGAACGGAACUUGAAACUUCUAAUCUAGAGUAUGGGAGGGGGAGAUGGAAUUAGUGGUGUAGGGGUAAAAUCCGUAGAUAUCACUAGGAAUACCUAAAGCGAAGGCGAUCUCCUGGAACAUUACUGACGCUAAGGCGUGAAAGCGUGGGGAGCAAACAGGAUUAGAUACCCGUGUAGUC
rnacentral:rRNA from 1 species